UGGUCAAGCUAGUAAGGGCAUAGGGUGGAUGCCUUGGCACCAGGAGCCGAUGAAGGACGGGAUAAGCGCCGAUACGCCUCGGGUAGCCGCAAGUAGGCAUUGAUCCGGGGAUUUCCGAAUGGGGGAACCCACCUAGGGCAAACCCUAGGUAUCACCUACUGAAUACAUAGGUAGGUGAGGGCAUACCGGGGGAACUGAAACAUCUAAGUACCCCGAGGAAAAGAAAGAAAACUCGAUUCCCUAAGUAGCGGCGAGCGAAAUGGGAACAGCCCAAACCCGGCACUCAACUGAACUUCGUUCAGUUGAGUGCCGGGGGUUGCGGACACAGCCGUUAACUAAACGACUUUUGUAGCCGAAUAGGUCUGGAAAGACCAACCAUAGAAGGUGAUAGUCCUGUAGGCGAAACGAAAGGAGUUUAGGGCUGUGAUCCAGAGUACCACGGGACACGUGAAACCCUGUGGGAAGCAGGGAGGACCACCUCCCAAGGCUAAAUACUACCUGGUGACCGAUAGCGCAUAGUACCGUGAGGGAAAGGUGAAAAGAACCCCGGGAGGGGAGUGAAAUAGAACCUGAAACCCUAUGUCUACAAGCAGUGGAAGCACUUUUUAUGUGCAACCGCGUACUUUUUGUAGAACGGGCCAGCGAGUUACGAUAUGCAGCGAGGUUAAGGACUUAAGGUCUGGAGCCGUAGGGAAACCGAGUCUUAAAUGGGCGAAUAAGUUGCAUGUCGUAGACCCGAAACCGGGUGACCUACCCAUGGGCAGGGUGAAGCGAAAGUAAAAUUUCGUGGAGGCCCGAACCCGUGUCUGUUGAAAAAGGCUGGGAUGACCUGUGGGUAGCGGUGAAAUUCCAAUCGAACUCGGAUAUAGCUGGUUCUCCCCGAAAUAGCUUUAGGGCUAGCCUCAAGGUAGUGACAUGGAGGUAGAGCACUGAAUGGUCUAGGGGCGCUCACACGCUACCGAAACCUAUCAAACUCCGAAUGCCAUAGUCAUGUUCCUUGGGAGUCAGACUAUGUGAGAUAAGUUUCAUAGUCGAGAGGGAAAGAGCCCAGACCGCCAGCUAAGGUCCCUAAGUACAGGUUAAGUGGUAAAGGAUGUAAGACUACACAGACAACCAGGAUGUUGGCUUAGAAGCAGCCAUUCAUUUAAAGAGUGCGUAAUAGCUCACUGGUCGAGUGGUCUUGCGCCGAAAAUGUCCGGGGCUCAAACCUGUCACCGAAGCUGCGGCAGCGCUAUGCGCUGGGUAGGGGAGCAUUCUUAAGUGGCAGAAGCUACACUGUAAGGAGUGGUGGACACUUAAGAAGAGAGAAUGCUGGCAUGAGUAGCGAAAGGUGGGUGAGAAUCCCACCCGUCGAAAGCCUAAGGUUUCCUGAGGAAGGCUCGUCCGCUCAGGGUUAGUCGGGACCUAAGCCGAGGCCGAAAGGCGUAGGCGAUGGACAACAGGUUGAGAUUCCUGUACCACCUAUCUGCGCUAAAGAGAUGGGGUGACGCAGGAGGAUAGGUUGAGCGCACGGUUGGUUGAGUGCGUCCAAGCCGGUAGGAAGUUUCUACAGGCAAAUCCGUAGGAACAAUUCCGAGAGGUGAUGGGGAGCGAAAUAUAAGUAGCGAAGCAACUGAUUCCACACUGCCGAGAAAAGCCUCUAUCGAGUAGAUAGGUGCCCGUACCGCAAACCGACACAGGUAGGCGAGGAGAGAAUCCUAAGACGAGCGGGAGAACCCUUGUUAAGGAACUCGGCAAAAUGACCCCGUAACUUCGGGAGAAGGGGUGCCGGUUGAGGUGUAAGUCCUAGCGACUGAAGCCUUGGUCGGCCGCAGAGGAUAGGCCCAAGCGACUGUUUACCAAAAACACAGGUCUCUGCUAAGUCGAAAGACGAAGUAUAGGGGCUGACGCCUGCCCGGUGCUGGAAGGUUAAGGGGAAGUGUUAGCGUUAAGCGAAGCACUGAACUUAAGCCCCAGUAAACGGCGGCCGUAACUAUAACGGUCCUAAGGUAGCGAAAUUCCUUGUCGGGUAAGUUCCGACCCGCACGAAAGGCGUAACGACUUGGGCACUGUCUCAACAAGGGACCCGGUGAAAUUGUAGUACCAGUGAAGAUGCUGGUUACCUGCGGCAGGACGGAAAGACCCCGUGGAGCUUUACUGCAGGCUGACAUUGGAUUUUGGUAUCACAUGUACAGGAUAGGUGGGAGACUGAGAAAUCGGGGCGCCAGCUUCGAUGGAGUCAACCUUGGGAUACCACCCUUGUGGUACUGAAGUUCUAACCAGAGGCCGUGAAUCCGGUCUUGGGACACUGUCAGUUGGGCAGUUUGACUGGGGCGGUCGCCUCCUAAAGAGUAACGGAGGCGCUCAAAGGUUCCCUCAGCACGGUCGGAAAUCGUGCGAAGAGUGUAAAGGCAGAAGGGAGCUUGACUGCGAGACAAACAAGUCGAGCAGGAACGAAAGUUGGACUUAGUGAUCCGGUGGUACCGAGUGGAAGGGCCAUCGCUCAACGGAUAAAAGCUACCCCGGGGAUAACAGGCUUAUCUCCCCCAAGAGUCCACAUCGACGGGGAGGUUUGGCACCUCGAUGUCGGCUCGUCUCAUCCUGGGGCUGAAGUAGGUCCCAAGGGUUGGGCUGUUCGCCCAUUAAAGAGGCACGCGAGCUGGGUUCAGAACGUCGUGAGACAGUUCGGUCCCUAUCCGCCGUGGGCGUAGGAAAUUUGAGAGGAGCUGUCCCUAGUACGAGAGGACCGGGAUGGACAGACCGCUGGUGCACCAGUUGUUCCGCCAGGGGCACAGCUGGGUAGCCAAGUCUGGAAGGGAUAAGCGCUGAAGGCAUCUAAGCGCGAAGCCCCCUCAAGAUAAGAUUUCCCAUCCGCAAGGAGUAAGACCCCAGAAAGACUAUCUGGUAGAUAGGCCUGAGGUGUAAGGGCAGUAAUGCCUUUAGCUGACAGGUACUAAUAGGUCGAGGGCUUGACCAGAA
rnacentral:rRNA from 1 species